GCGGCAAGAAGGAACGGUAAACUUCUAAUUACAUUCUGCAAAGAAUAUGCCUAAAAGAACUAUAGACUAUAUUCUGUUUAUACUUUGAACGACAAAAUUAUAUUAAAUCGUUACCUGUGUGACGUUUACAUUCUGACGACGAACGCGCGAUUCUACGUCAGAGUCAAUGUUGAUUUAAUCAUUCGGUCCAAGUACUUACAAUAUUUCAAUCGUUUAUGGGUGGAUUCAACAUACAUAAGAUUCAAAAAUUAAAAAAAAAAAAAGCAAUGAAUGAGGUUGUUAAAUUUGAUAUAUUCUUUUUUGUGAUUCUUUGUUAAAAAUUUGUUUGUUUUUAUUGUAAUUAAGAUACUUGUGGUUCUUGUUCAUCCUGGCAUUAUGUUAUUGUUUAUGAUAUUCUCGUUUUCUUGUCUUUCAGUUUUGUCUAUGUGCUUUGUCUAUAUGACUUAUGGUGUUACAUCGAUACAUAUAGCGUGGCUCUGUACUUAUACAUUUCGUUAUUGUGAUAUUGCUAAAUAUGUUAAAUGUUGUAUGCUUGUAUUUCAUUAUGCUAUGUGAUUUUUCUAUACGCCUUUUUAUGUUUCUUUGAUACAUAUAUGACGUAGCUCUAUACGUAUACAUCCCGUCAUUGUGUCAUUGUACUAUGGUGUAUUCUUUUCUUUAUUUUUUGCUAAUAUGCUUAGUUUAUGCCAUAUUGUGCUUCUUUGUUACAUAUUUGUUUUUUGGAGUUUGUUGUGCUUUGGUUUUUUUUUUUUUUUUUUUUUUUUUUUUUCUUAACAUUAUGACACAAUGAUAACUGCUGUACUCCUUUUUUGACAAUUCUACUUAUUAUAAAUUUGAGAAUGGAAAUGGGGAAUGUGCCAAAGAGACAACAACCCGACCAUAGAGCAGACAACAGCAGAAGGUCACCAACAGGUCUUCAAUGCAACGAGAAA
rnacentral:lncRNA from 1 species